GGGAAAAUCAGAAAUAUUAGAAAUAAUAAAAAGUAUUAUUAUUCAGGGAAAUAAUGAUCAUGAUAAGAAUAAUUCCUAUUUUAGUCUGCUCCUUGUGCAGCCAGCACAGGGGACAGCCCAGGAGUGGAUCCCUACACACACCCCCACCCCUUACAGACAUUUAAUCCUGAGCAAAAGAAAUUAGGAUUAAAAAUUCCCCAUCCACACAAACAAACAAACAAACAACCAACCAGAGGAGGCAGCCCCUGUGUUUUCCAGUCCCCCCAGCUGGCAGGAGUUACCUGCACCCUCCUCUGCUCAGCCCCCAGCAGGAGGGAGGAAUAUGAAGGUGCCAGACUUUGAGUUAAAUCCCUAAAACGCCAGAGUGUGGGAGUGAUUAUGAAUGGCAAGCAGAAAAUUAGAAGUAAGUAACAUUUCUUAGGGUGAAUUAUGAAAAGGAUCCUGUGAUGUGCUGGUGCAGCAGCUUGAGGCUGCAUUUUCUCCUUCCUCCACAGCCCAGUUCUCCCAGUUUGCUCCCAGUUUGCUCCCAGUUUGUUCCCAGUUUGCUGCC